rnacentral:rRNA from 1 species
UGCCUGGGAAAUUGCCCUGAUGUGGGGGAUAACCAUUGGAAACGAUGGCUAAUACCGCAUAAUAGCUUCGGCUCAAAGAGGGGGACCUUCGGGCCUCUCGCGUCAGGAUAUGCCCAGGUGGGAUUAGCUAGUUGGUGAGGUAAUGGCUCACCAAGGCGACGAUCCCUAGCUGGUCUGAGAGGAUGAUCAGCCACACUGGAACUGAGACACGGUCCAGACUCCUACGGGAGGCAGCAGUGGGGAAUAUUGCACAAUGGGCGCAAGCCUGAUGCAGCCAUGCCGCGUGUAUGAAGAAGGCCUUCGGGUUGUAAAGUACUUUCAGCAGUGAGGAAGGCGGGUACGUUAAUAGCGGGCUUGUUUGACGUUAGCUGCAGAAGAAGCACCGGCUAACUCCGUGCCAGCAGCCGCGGUAAUACGGAGGGUGCGAGCGUUAAUCGGAAUUACUGGGCGUAAAGCGCAUGCAGGUGGUUUGUUAAGUCAGAUGUGAAAGCCCGGGGCUCAACCUCGGAAUUGCAUUUGAAACUGGCAGACUAGAGUACUGUAGAGGGGGGUAGAAUUUCAGGUGUAGC